GGUAGGCAUGGUGGCGUGUGUCUGUAGUCCUAGCUACUUGGGAGGCCAAGGCAGGAGGAUACUUUGAGCCCAGGAGUUCAAGGAUGCAGUGAGCUAUGAUUGUGCCACUGCAUUCCAGCCUGGGCAACAGAGCAAGACCCUGUCUUUA
ensembl:misc_RNA Metazoa_SRP Metazoan signal recognition particle RNA